UAAAUAAAUAAAUAAAUAAAGUGGCGGAUCUCCCGCCCCAGCAAACGGGGAGAAGUCGGGCACGGCUCCCGCUGCCCGCACCGCAGCCCGGAGCUGCUCCCUGGCGCUGCUGGGGAUCGGGAUCGGGACCGGGAUCGCGAUAGGGAUUGGGACUGGGAACGGGGACUUUCCCCCCCUCCCCAACCCCCGCCGGGAGUCUCCCAGAGCCCCCCGGCUGCAGCCGGACCCGCGGCUGGGUCCCCCGGCAGGUGGAGGUGGCCUCGGACCUGAAGCGCUGGAGCGGGGCUCCAGGUCCAGGCUGACUUUAUCACGUGUGUAUUUCUUUUUGUGUAAGGUUUUAGCCAUGCUUAAACAGAAAAGGGUGAGUUUUGCAACGCUGUUGGGUUCGGGUGAGCAGAGAGAGGAUCGGAGCCCUGCUGUAAGCACCCUGCGUGGCUCUGGUCAGAAGUAUCUUGCUUCCAACAAGUAAUGCAGAGAAACUCCUUUCUUUUCCUUCCUCUAGGUUGCCUGUCUAGAUCAUAAUAUCUAGGAGAGCACCUUUUUUUCUUAAUAUAUGUCUCUUUUUUUUUUCUUUUCCCCAAUGCCCAGUAGUGGCAUUAGCACCUAAAAACAUCACUUUUAUCGGUUGGUAUAUUUGUUAGUAAUUUGGUCUAAUUCUUUGAUAUUUAAUCCUCAGGCUCUCUGUCACAGAAUUCAGUGUCUAUUUUGCCAACAGCCACUUCCCUCUCACAGACCUUGAUGGUUUAAUUCAAUUGGCAGUGAAUGCCAGGAUAUUUGGGUGGGUUUUGAGUGUCAGCGACUGCGCUGUCACAAAGCCCUGCUGUAAUAUCAUUAUCAGUGUUGUUCAAAUUGGGAAACUCCAGCCCAGAUGCAGAGGUGCCCAACUCCACUGAGAGUUAAAGGUGCUGGGGUUAAAUCCAUCACUGUUUGUUAAAACUGAGACCUUCAGCUGUUUGUUCAGAUCACAGACACCAUCCUGGGAUGGGAACUCUGUCCUUCCGAAGACAGUGCUGAAGACAACACAGGCUCCACUGGAGAGCUCUCAUCUCAAACAGUAUGGGGGUAGAAAAGCUGGAGUUUGCUGUGCUUCCAUUGCUCUGUCACUUCUCUGAAGCUAAUGAAAUGAUGAGAAGUUAGAGACCAAAAACAAAAGCAAUGGGAACAUCUGUUUAAACCCACACUGGAUAGCUGCCAGAUUAGUGGAAAGGAUACGGUAUAAAGAAGACUUUUGUUUCCUCCGAGCAAGGAGAAAAAAUAAGUUACAAGUUGGUGCAGAUUGCCGAGAAGAAGCAACUUUUUCUCUCCAGAAGCAGAUGUCCUGUAGUGUUUGAAAAUGAAAUGUUUUUGUGUCUUGCAGGCAAAGGUUCUGCGUUUCAACAAUAUUGAUUGUCAGUUAGUACAGACUGUCAGCCUGCCGUGGUUAACCUACCAGUUGUUUGAGAGACAAUCAUGAGCAAUUAAGAAUCACAUUUCACAGAUUCAAAUGCAUCCAUAUUGCCACUUUAUUCAAAAUCCCUUUUUUCAUGUUGGAAAGUACAUUGGUGAGAGAGGAGAAGUUUUCUUUUUUUUUCCCCUGCCAACCAUAUUUUCAUUGCUGGCCAAAUUAAGAGAGAUAUAUAUUGCUCAUAAACUUGCUGCAGUUUCUUGAUUAAAAUCUUACAUGCAGCACUCCUUUCAACAUCAAUCUAUAAUAAUAAGGAGUGAGCACAUUGCAUUUCAUUUCUUUGUAUUGUGCCUGAGAUGCAAAGCACCAGGGAAACAUCAUGGAAAGAUUCAGCUGCCGAACAAGCAGCAGCACAAUGAGAAAAAGACCGUUCUUUCCAAGGACAACACUUUGUGAUUUGAAACGGGGAAAAGAAUAGGAAAAUUAGAACCAAGAAGAGGCGAGCGCUCAGCAGCUGAGGUUACAACGGUGCUAGCUGUGCAGUGGUUUUGCAGCUGAUACCAGCGAGGCUGCAAAGCGCUGAGAUCAACCUGUUGCACCAAGAAAAGCAGCCCGCAUGUGACAAAGCACAGAGUGCUGCACCACUCCAAGGCCAGCAGCGCCUGGAAAGCUUGUGGCUCUUGUCACCUCUCUGACAAACACUUUUCAAGGCUUUGCUGGCUGGUGGCCUGUUGGAGGGAUGUAGAGGGGACACUGGGUCUGGGUGAUGUCUCAGCAGAGGGUUGUGUUGCUGCACCUGUGCCAGGCACUGUGCAUAUUAUGUUGUCACAAGCUGCAUGCAUGCAGUCACCUUGGCUAGUGGCUUUGGUCUGAACACCUGGGAACCAUCUCAACCUCAUCAGCCAACAUGAUGUAGAAGGACUUCAAGCAAGGAUCAAUCCCACCUCCUUUUCCAGAAAUCUUCCAAACCAAAACAUUCUUCAAAAGCAACCGAAAUCCAUCAGUUGUUCCAAAAAGCACACCACUCACACCGUCAGAAGAGAUUUCUGACAUCAAAUGACUCCCUCUAUGGGUUUCUCAGCACUCUGAACCUCAGAAGCCCUUCCCAUGCCCCUGCUGCCCACCUCCUAUGGUUCAUGCAUGCACUGGGUCUGUACCACUCGUGGGAACGGGACCUGAAGUAGCAUAAGCAGGUUUUGCCUUGCAGAACACAUUGAGUUCUGCCUCAUUCACAGGGAAAGCUAGCAAACAUCAAGCCCUGAGCAAAACAAUAUACAUCAGUCAGAGACUGUUGUAUUUCUACAAGAGCAACUCAUGGAAAACGUCAGCACACACUUCACAAUAAUUAAGGGGCUCAGAAAGGAUCAUAGUCUGUGAACCUGUCCAUGGAAAUGGUUUCAUUUCCACCUCGUGUUCCCCUGCAUCCCAUCAUUAAAAAAAAAAAAAAAAAAAAA